GCCAUUUUUAUUUUAAUUCUUUUAUUAGACGUGCUCGACUUUUGCUUUUCCUCUCCUGGGCCCUUCUUGAUAGAAUGGCGAAUUAACAUGGCUCGCGCCUGUAAAGUGGACUUCGACUUAACCUCCUUAUUGAUGUACCUUCGAUUAUCUUUUCGGUGCUCUCUCAUGGCGGCUUCGACAAUGGUAAGCUUCGCUCUGCAGCAAACCUUGCUAGCUAAUCUUGAAACCGUCAACCGGACACUUACUUCUUUUAUUGGCAUUUGCGGAUUUCUUCGGUCGCAUAUUCUCUUUAAAAGUAUUUUGAGCUUUCUUCAACUGGCUGACUACUCCCAGCACGCUUAUGAUGUGUUCCUCCCUUUAUGGGUGCUUUAUUUAGCACCAAAAUCUUCAUCUUACGUCAAAGAUUUACUUU